GCGUCACAAAAAAACCCCUAGCGUCGACUACAUUUCCUAACCCCACUUCUUCUGCCACCGUACCCUAAAUCCAUUCCCCCCUCUGGCGACACGUACAGCUCAUUGACGGGGUUUCUUUUAAGAUGUACUGCCUCUAGUUGUUUAUCUCUCCACCUUGACCACCUCAGACAUCGAUUUUAUGAGGAAUUUAUUUAGCCCUGUUACCGAGGUAAAGACGCCCAAAAACCAUUUGACUUCCCCCUCGGUUGGCAUGUGUGAAACCUACACUACAACGAUGAUAUAUACAAAGAGUUUGGUUACCCUUCUUUUGGAUCAACGCUGUUUGAAGGCGAGCACGUGGUCACGCCUGCAAGUCGAUCUUCUUCUAGAGGCAACGUCAAUACUAAGGACGAAAAAGAACUGGAAAACGUCGAAGAAGAAGAGGAAGACGACAUUGUAGAGCACCAAAAAUCACAAGUCUACCUAAACAGACCAACUUCCCUGCCGGCUAACUUGCUAAGAUGAUUAAUCGGCAAGUGCUAUAUCUAGCCAAGUACAAGAGCAAAUCAUCAGUUGCCAAUAUGGUAAGGCCCCUAAUAGAAACCCACCAUGGGUACCUAAUCGGUACCACCUAGAAAGCAGUCGAGCAUGGGACUCGAACUCGACAAUCAACACUCGAGACGUAACUAGUCAGUCUUGACUCUCUAAUUAUCUUUCCAAAA